UACGGAGGGAGCUAGCGUUGUUCGGAAUUACUGGGCGUAAAGCGCACGUAGGCGGCUUUUUAAGUCAGGGGUGAAAUCCCGGGGCUCAACCCCGGAACUGCCUUUGAAACUGGAGAGCUAGAAUCUUGGAGAGGCGAGUGGAAUUCCGAGUGUAGAGGUGAAAUUCGUAGAUAUUCGGAAGAACACCAGUGGCGAAGGCGACUCGCUGGACAAGUAU
rnacentral:rRNA from 1 species